GACGAACGCUGGCGGCGUGCCUAAUACAUGCAAGUAGAACGCUGAAGGAGGAGCUUGCUCUUCUGGAUGAGUUGCGAACGGGUGAGUAACGCGUAGGUAACCUGCCUGGUAGCGGGGGAUAACUAUUGGAAACGAUAGCUAAUACCGCAUAACAGUAGAUGUUGCAUGACAUUUACUUAAAAGGUGCAAUUGCAUCACUACCAGAUGGACCUGCGUUGUAUUAGCUAGUUGGUGGGGUAACGGCUCACCAAGGCGACGAUACAUAGCCGACCUGAGAGGGUGAUCGGCCACACUGGGACUGGGACACGGCCCAGACUCCUACGGGAGGCAGCAGUAGGGAAUCUUCGGCAAUGGACGGAAGUCUGACCGAGCAACGCCGCGUGAGUGAAGAAGGUUUUCGGAUCGUAAAGCUCGGUUGUGAGAGAAGAACGAGUGUGAGAGUGGAAAGUUCACACUGUGACGGUAUCUUACCAGAAAGGAACGGCUAACUACGUG
rnacentral:rRNA from 1 species